CAACAAGAAGGUAGACGAUGGUUAGUCUAUCUGCAGCUGCUCCCGCUUACUGAGGGGAAAAGAGAAGACUUCCCCUUGUAACCUGGCUGGGAGCCUUCCCAAGCCCCUGAAGGCCCCCAUUAGCUGCCCACCUCCUGCUUGAAACACGCCGCAGAACAUCUGGAAGCCCUAGGAGGCCGUUUCUUUGACAACCUUCGAUUUAAAAGCUCAUGGAAAUUCUUGCUCCAACUGCUGUGACGU
rnacentral:lncRNA from 1 species